rnacentral:lncRNA from 1 species
UCGGUGUGUGUCAAGAUGGAAUUGACUACUCUAAAUUAAUAGAAGAUAUGCAUCAGUGUAUUUCAAUUUAAAAAAAUCUUGACCAGGAUAAUUCAUGAGAUAGAUUUAAAAAGUUGAAAUACAAUAUGGUCGACUAAAUUAAGAUUGACAGUUAAAUCCUAGAUCACCUUGAGCAUUAGGGUCAAAGGGAUGAAUUAUACGGCAACCAUACGCCAGUAGAUUUUAGAAUAUUGCUUUGCAAUACUUUGACCUAUCCAGUCGUCAGGUCACCAUUGUUAGAUGGUUAUAUUGAUUAGUAUAAAAAGUUAUUCCUAUACUAUCAGCUUAGAUUUGAACCUAUAAGGUCACACACAUUAGAAGAUUUGAUC